GAUGAAGAACGUAGCGAAAUGCGAUACGUAAUGUGAAUUGCAGAAUUCAGUGAAUCAUCGAAUCUUUGAACGCAUAUUGCGCUCUCUGGUAUUCCGGAGAGCAUGCUUGUUUGAGUAUCAGUAAACACCUCAACUUCCAUAUCUUUUUUGAAAUGGGAGCUGGACUUGAGUGAUCCCAACGCUUUUCCUCACCGAAAAGUGGCGGGUUACUUGAAAUGCAGGUGCAGCUGGACUUUUCUCUGAGCUAUAAGCAUAUCUAUUUAGUCUGCCUAAAAAACAGAUUAUUACCUUUGCUGCAGCUAACAUAAAGGAGAUUAGUUCUUGUGCUGACUGAUGCAGGAUUCACAAAGACGGCUUCGGCCGACUUUGUAAACUCGAUCUCAAAUCAAGUAAGACUACCCGCUGAACUUAAGCAUAUCAAUAAGCGGAGGA
rnacentral:misc_RNA from 1 species